UAUUAUAACGAUAUUGCAGUAAAAGCAAGAAGCGUGCAACAUCUCUUAGGACUUGCAAUAUCUGUGGAACUGAGAGAUGCCUCUUAAUAAUGUAAAGGCUUAUGACAGGCAACCCUUUAGCAACAAAUAUUCAGAGAGUAGUUUAGUCCGUUCAGCAUCAAAUUGUGUAGAUAAUUGUGUAGCCAAUUCUUUUACCAUUUUUUACUUUUUCCUCUUGUUAUGUACUUACUUUAGAAGAACAUUACUUGACAAAAUCCUGACUAAAUGCCUAAUGCAAUCUUAGAGAUGAUCAAUGGUACAAAAUAUGUUCUUCAAGUUUUGAUCUGGGGAGUUCUCACGAUAUAAAGAAGUUUUGCGGCCAAUUUAUUGGCAAUAAGCUGGCAGCUUGGCAGUCAUUAUUAUUUAUUCAAUUGUGAAUGGUAUUCUAAGUCACUGAUUUGACCUUGUGUGCAUAUAUAAGGUGGAUUGUUGUCAAAUAUAUUUUUUUGAAACUUAUAUCUUAGGCUUUCUUUUUUUCGCAAUGUAAUGAGGUCUGCCAUUGUGCCACCAGAUGUAAGCCAUCUGAUGUUGGGUGUUUUUUUUUCCCCACUUAGGUAAUGCUAAUACAUGUGGAAAGCGGGUUGAGGGUCACAUGAACUCAGGUUUAUCUCUGGGGACUCCAGAAGCUGCCUUUGUACCUCCAAGACCCGAUUAUAGUCGGCCUUUUGCUUGCGUUCCUUACCCUUAUGCUGAUCCAAGCUUCGUUGGCAUGCUGGCUGCGUAUAGGUCACAUGCAAUUGUAUGUAUUAUUGAGCAUGUUCUUCCUUUCAGUUGUCCAAUUUUUUUUUAUAUUAGUUGCAGCUCAAUCAGUAUUUUAAUAGAAUGGACAAAAGUUGGAUAAAUAAGUCGAAUUCCAGUGCCGAACCAAGAAAAUUUGCAGUCUCAGCUUACGAAUAUUUCAUCUUUGUUACAACGAUUUCUCCCUUCUCAGAUUCCUGAUACUUCAAAUGCUCGCAGAGAUGAUGAUGAUGGAGCUGAAUCUCGUCCCUGAUACUUUGUAGAUUAUUUUUUUAUGGAGUUU